AAUGAACUAGCCAGAAACAACUUAACAAAGAGAACUUAAGCUAAGCUCCCCGAAACCAGACGAGCUACCCAUAAACAAUCUAAAAGGAUCAACUCAUCUAUGUA
rnacentral:rRNA from 1 species